CUUCCUCAGCAAAGAAAAAAAAAAAGCGAAGCAUACUUUUAAAAGAAAAAUAAUCAAAAACCUCCCAGCAAAGAAAAGCCCAGAUGGUUUCGCUGAUGAACUCUACCAAAUAUUUAAAGAAUCCUCCUCAAACUCUUCCAAAAAAUUGAAGAGGAGGGAACACUCCCAAAAUCAUUUUAUGAGGCCAGUAUUACCCUGAUAUCAAAGCCAAAUAAGGAUACAACAAGAAAAUAAAACCUCAGUUUCUAAUUCAACAGGUGUUAUGGGCUGAACUGUCUCCCUCAAAAUUCAUAUAUUGAAAUCUACCUGAGAAUGUGACUGUAUUUGGAGAUAAGGCCUUUUAAAGAGGCGACUAGGUUAAAAUGAGGCUGGUAGGGUGGGUCCUAACCUAAUCUGACUGGUGUCCUAAUAAGAAGAGGACAUUAGGACAGACAAACACACCAGGCACGUGUGCACACAGAGGAAAGACCAUGGGAGGACACAAUAAGAAGGUGGCCAUCUACAAGACAAGGAGAUCAGCCUCAGAAGAAACCAAACCUGCCAAAACCUUGAUCUUGGCCUUCUAAACUCCAGGAUUAUUAGAAAUAAAUUUCUGUGGUUUAAGUCACUCUAUCUGUGGUAUUUUGCUAUGGCAGCCCCUGCAAAUUAAUACAGUAGGUCUAGGGUGGGGCUCCAGAAUUUGAUGAGCUGGAUCAGAUAUACUCCCAUUAGGGGAGAGGAGCGUGUGUGGAAGAGCAAAGAUCAAGCCCUAGCCAGCAACCACCUAGAGAGCCAUUCAUAAGCAGUGCUGUUGGCAGAGGAAUUGUUUUCCCCUUCGGUUUCCUCUUCCGUAUUUCUGCUUUUUUUUUUUUAAUUAUCAUGAAUUAAUUUGAUAUGAAAGGAAUAGAUAAAAUUUUUAAAUUAAAUAUCUUUCCAGGUCUUGUUUUGGUGCCCCAGCUGAACCAGGAGAACCUAAUCACCAUUCUUCCCGGCCAAGAACUGGUGCCCACAAUGAGUAGAUGGCUCUGCGAGGUGGUGGAGGCAGUAAUGAGAGAUCCAAGGUAGAAGAGAAGGCUUUCUCUGCCACAAGAAGGCUGUCCUUUGCUGCCCCUCUAAAUAAGGAGGUUUUGGGGUGCCUGGAGAACCAUGCAGUGCAAGGGGUGAUUCAUAUAAACGCAGAAUUCCAGGCUUCAACAAAACCAGCGCUAACGAGCGAUUUCCCGCCCCCGCGAGAGGAUCCGAUUUGGGCUCAGCAUAAAUCACUACAAUAAAUUUCUAAGCCUUAAAGUGCUUCCUGUGAGAUACUUUGCGCCCUCGCCGCAGAGGCGCGCAACUGGGCAGGACGAGUGCGUAAACGCGGCUCUCGGGAGAGCGCUGGCUUGCGCCGACCCGAGCCUCCGUGCCCCGCGGUGCUACCCAUCCCUAUCCGUGUCCCACACUUCCGAGUCCUCGCAUUGAAAGCGGGGACUUAGAGAGGUAGAUAGCCCCCAGAACGAUUCCGAAGGUUCGAUUCCCGCGGAACCGUAUCUCCUGGGCAGUCUGGCUGGAAGGCGCUCCGAACCUCAGCCCAUCUCGUCUUCAAAAAGGUUCGCACCAACUGGCUAGUUCUUCCCGCCUCCUCCCAGUGCCCGGCACCAUCGCGGCCGUUUUGAAAUGGCCUUGAACUGGGAGACGAGGCCUCAAAGCCAGCGAGGGGCAGAGUGAGGGUGGGGAGAGAAGGCAGGGGACCUGCCCUCCAGUCCCUAUGCAAAACUGGGAGGAGGGAGGGGGAUGAGCCCCCGACGCAAACCCGGGCCCCGCUCUGGCCCGCAGGCCCGGGAAAUGCGAAGGCUUCCGCUGCCGGGUCCCCGAGCAAAGAACGCGAGGCCGCAGUGGGCGCUGGCAGAGAGCCCAGAGCCCCGC
rnacentral:lncRNA from 1 species